rnacentral:lncRNA from 1 species
CUAGUGAUAAAGGGUUUAGUGAAAUGAGAUUUGAGGUGAAGAAUUUGUGGAUCUGAUCUGAGGUGGUGAUGGUGGGAAUGUGAAUGAAGGAUCCAAAAUGCAAAGAUUGUUUUUUUGUUUGAGGUUUUGGUAUUAUUGCAUGUUUGAUGUCGUGUCCCUUCAACGAUUGUUGAAAUUGAGACACCAAAACAUAGUAGAUUGAUUGACUUCACAUGAAAUGAAUAAUUUA